rnacentral:rRNA from 1 species
GAUGAACGCUAGCGGGAGGCUUAACACAUGCAAGUCGAGGGGUAGGGAAGCAAUUCCUGAGACCGGCGGACGGGUGCGUAACGCGUAUGCAACCUGCCUUAUACAGGGGGAUAGCCCAUGGAAACGUGGAUUAACACCCCAUAGGAUUACGGGAUCGCAUGAUUUGGUGAUUAAAACUGAGGUGGUAUAAGAUGGGCCUGCGUCUGAUUAGGUGGUUGGUAGGGUCAUGGCCUACCAAGCCGACGAUCAGUAGGGGUUCUGAGAGGAUUACCCCCCACACUGGUCCUGAGCAACGGACCAGACUCCUGCGGGAGGCAGCAGGGAGGAAUAUUGGUCAAUGGCCGGAAGGCUGAACCAGCCAUCCCGCCUGCAGGAUGACGGCCCUAUGGGUUGUCAACUGCUUUUGUACCUGAAGAAUAGGCCCAACGAGUUGGGAUUUGCCGGUAAGGUAUGAAUAAGCAUCGGCUAACUCCGUGCCAGCCGCCGCUGUAAAAC